GUAAAGGGCCGCUAGAGCCAAAGGCACAGAUGUGCCUCUUUUGUUGGAUCCAAAACUGAUCCUUGAUUUUAUAGAUCUCUAGCACCUGCUCGUGAGCAUAAUGGUAUAAGCAUGCCUGACUAUGAGACCGACUGGUCGAACAAAGACGAAAGUCGUCCAUAGUGAUUCGGGAGUCCCGUGUGGAAGGGCUCUCACUCAA
rnacentral:ncRNA from 1 species